CUUCAGCCGGGUGGGAAACGGGACCUGUCCGGGCGAGAGUGCAGCUGCGAGCGGGGCUGUGUCCACACCGAGCAGGUUUACAGGCAGUUUACCAAACUCCAUACCAUAUUUCUGUUUGAUUCAAGUCCCUUCUGGAGACAAGAGGAAUGACACUGCCUGAGGCUAUCCAAGAAGAGCAACAGAAGUCAUGUCAUAUACCCCAUUCCAGUAUUGUUAUGUGGUGAGUUCUGAUGUCACAGCAGAAUAUACCUCACUGCCUCAGGACUUAAAGUAACUCGUAACAUUUUUGAAAACUAAGGCUUAGCCAUGUGGGUAUGUUCUACAGAACACUAUAUAAGCUGGAUUAGCUCUUGAAUUUUUUCUGGCAUUCUCUACAUCUGCAGAAGUACCUAUUGCAGCAACUUCUGUUAGCAAUAACACUCCCAAAACAUGUAGCUAGACAUCAGCAUUUUAAUGAACACUCGUAGCUGUAGCUGCAUAUUUUAAAAUUAUAUUUGUAAUUAUAUAGCAGAAAUUUAAAAAAAUAGAAG